rnacentral:rRNA from 1 species
GACGAACGCUGGCGGCGUGCCUAAUACAUGCAAGUAGAACGCUGAAGGAGGAGCUUGCUUCUCCGGAUGAGUUGCGAACGGGUGAGUAACGCGUAGGUAACCUGCCUGGUAGCGGGGGAUAACUAUUGGAAACGAUAGCUAAUACCGCAUAACAGUAGAUAUCGCAUGAUAUCUGCUUGAAGGGUGCAAUUGCAUCACUACCAGAUGGACCUGCGUUGUAUUAGCUAGUUGGUGAGGUAACGGCUCACCAAGGCGACGAUACAUAGCCGACCUGAGAGGGUGAUCGGCCAAACGGGGACUGAGACACGGCCCAGACUCCUACGGGAGGCAGCAGUAGGGAAUCUGCGGCAAUGGACGGAAGUCUGACAGAGCAACGCCGCGUGAGUGAAGAAGGUUUUCGGAUCGUAAAGCUCUGUUGUAAGAGAAGAACGAGUGUGAGAGUGGAAAGUUCACACUGUGACGGUAUCUUACCAGAAAGGGACGGCUAACUACGUG